UACGGGGGGGGCAAGCGUUGUUCGGAAUUACUGGGCGUAAAGGGCUCGUAGGCGGCCAACUAAGUCGGGCGUGAAAUCCCACGGCUCAACCGUGGAAGUGCACUCGAAACUGCAUAGCUAGAGUCCUGGAGAGGAAGGUGGAAUGCUUGGUGUAGAGGUGAAAUUCGUAGAUAUCAAGCGGAACACCGGUGGCGAAGGCGGCCUUCUGGACAGUGACUGACGCUGAGACGCGAAAGCGUGGGGAGCAAACAGG
rnacentral:rRNA from 1 species